AAAAUUGUCCUCUGCUUAAAUAUGCCUAAAAUAAACUGCCCAGUGUCAGACUUUAGUUGUUUGAACCAACACUGGCUACUGAGUUGUGGUAAACCAGAUUUCCUUCUUACCUUAUGUAGAUCAUCAAUCUGCUGGUCCUGGUAGUCACAGAAUCCCCCAUAGGAUUGUAAGCCUUCUAAACAAAAAGGAUAAUUUUUUUUUACCCCACUUAUGUCUAACCCCAAGGACUUUUCAUCAUAGAAGUUUCAACUUUUUAAGAUUUUUAUCUUGAGUAGUGGUUUGAAUAUGCUUGGACCACUGAGUGUCACUAUUAGGAACUGUGGCCUUGUUAGAGUAGGUAUGGCCUUGUUAGAGGAAGUGUGUCACUGUGUGGGUGGGCUUUGAGGUCCUUUACUUAAGCUCUGCCCAGUGUGGAAGCAGAGUCUCCUGGCUGCCCUUGGGUCAAGAUGUAGAACUUUUAGUUUCUUGUCCAACACCAUGUUUGCCUGGACCCUGCCAUGCUUUCUGCUAUGACAAUAAUGGACUAAACCUUGAAAUUAUUAAUUAAAUGUUGUCCUUUAUAAGUCCAUGGUGUAUCAUCCCAGCAAUGGAAAUCUUAACUGAGACACUUGAUACUUACUACAACUGCUACAACCUCUUGAUACUUCUUGAACUUUUUUUUUUUUGAGAUGUCCUAGGCUGGUCCAGAAUACAUAAUUAUAUUGCCUCAAUUCCCCAUGUGUUAAGACUGCAGGUACACAAUUUGACCUGGGUAUCCUAUUAAAGUACUUGUAGAUUUAGCUCUAUAAUACCUUUCCUUUUAUAUUCUUAUAUUAGUAAUUUCUUAGAAAACUACCACUUAUUCUUUCGUGAAUGCACAAUAUCCUUUAGUUUCAGUGGUUCUCAACCUGUGGGUCAAGACCCCUUUGGGUGUCAACUGACCAUUUCAUGGGAGUUGCCUAAGACCAUAGAAAAACACAGAGAUUUAUAUUACAAUUCAUAACAGUAGCAAAAUUACAGUUAUGAAAUAGCCACAAAAAGAAUUUUAUGGUUGGGGAAUCACCAAAACAUGAGGAACUAAAGGGUCAUAGGAUUAGGAAGGUUGAGGCCCACUGCUUCAGGUCCUUUUAUGUAUGUCCUGCUAUAUCUAGUCUUAGUUAGAUCCCGUAAAUAGCUGAGGCUUAUAGAAAACAGUGCAGUUGUCAGGUUAUUGAUCUCAAAAGAUAUUCACAUCCAAAGUCUAUGAAUGUUAGGUUAGAUUGCAAGGAGAAAUUAAGGUAGCUGGUGGGUUAAGAAUGUUGAUCCAUAGACCUCAAACAAGAGAUUUUUCUAUACCAGUAGACCCUAUGAAAACACAAAAGUUUUUAAGAAGAGAGAUUUACAGAUGAGGCUAUAUGAUUGGCCUUGAAGAGAAAGUUUGUAGAGUCACUUGCUGAGGACUGCUGGUGGCUUCCUGCAGCUGGAAAAAGUAAGAAAACGCAUUUUCCUUCUGUUGCUCUAUAAACAUCUAGAUUUUAUCCUAGUAAGAACCAUAUUAGGUAUCUUCCUGCACUAUAAGAUAAAAAUUUGUGAUUUUUUUUUAGCCACUAACUUCAUAAUAAUUCAUUACAGCUACAACAGACAACUAAUGAAAGAACCUCUGCAUUCUCUCCCUUUGUAGAAUGAGGACUGAUUGGUGGAGCCCUGUGUCAGGCUACAUGUACCCUCAGGGAUUGGAGUUGGUAAUUAUCCACUCUGGGAGGCCUUGAUCUUAAGAGUAUAAGCUCUAGAGCAGGGUGCUGGGUGUGCUGGGUCAAUAAAAGGGGUAUGGGUGGGUCACUACCUAUUUUUACUGCAGUUGGAAAAUCUAAGGCAGUACUGCAUGUGUCAAGCAAUAGUUAUGUUUACUUGUGUGGUUGAGGAAGAAAGGCAUUAAAGUAAAUAGAGAAAUGAAAUACUUGGCAUCCUUGCAUUAUUCAAAAAUACGUGAUUCCCAUUACAUUUGAAGUUUAUUGUGCUUACAUGUUAAACAUUUAAGGGCAAUCACCAUAUCUGUUAUUAGUUGUAAACAAAUACAGUAGAAACAUAAACAGUCUGUCUUAGUCAUGUUCUAUUGUUUUGAAGAGGUACAUGACCAAGGCAACUUUUAUAAAAGAAAACAUUCAAUUGGGGGCCUGAUUAUAGUUUCAUAGGUUUAGUCCAUUGUUAUCAUGGUAGGAAGCAUGCUGGCACGCAGGCAACCACUGGAGCAGUAGCUGAGUGCUGCAUCUUGAUCUGUAGCCAGAGAAAAAGAUAGUAGGCCUUGUGUGGGCUUUUGAAAUACCAAACUCACCCCCAGUAACACUAUCCCUUGAACAGGUCCACACCUCCUAAUUCUUCUCAAAUAGUGCCACUCCCUCCUAAAAAAGCACUCAAAUCUAUGAGCCUAUCGGAGCCACUCUUAUUUAAAACUACCACAUUCUACUCCCUGGUCCUCAUAUCAUAUCAUAUAUCAUAUUGGGUUAUAAUUGGAAUGCAUAUUACCUUACAUAUCAUAAAGAAUAUAAGUUAAAAUGCAUAUUGCAUUACAUAUCAUAGUGUAAAAAUAUAUUCUGUCCAACUUCAAAAGUUCCCAUAGAUUAUUACAAUCUUGACCCUGUUUAAAAGUCUGAAGUUCAAGAUCUUUUGUCAAUUUCUAAUAAAAUCAAAAUUUAAAAAAGUAAAUCACAUACUUCCAACAUACAAUGGCAGAGAAUAUACAUUACCAUUUC
rnacentral:lncRNA from 1 species